ACUGGAACUGAAACACGGUCCAGACUCCUACGGGAGGCAGCAGUGGGGAAUAUUGCGCAAUGGGCGAAAGCCUGACGCAGCAACGCCGUGUGAGGGAUGAAGGCUUUCGGGUCGUAAACCUCUGUCGGAAGGGAAGAACGGGCAUUGGUCUAAUAGGCCUUUGUUUUGACGGUACCUUUAGAGGAAGCACCGGCUAACUCCGUGCCAGCAGCCGCGGUAAUACGGAGGGUGCAAGCGUUAUUCGGAAUUACUGGGCGUAAAGCGCACGUAGGCGGCCUUGUAAGUCAGGGGUGAAAUCCCACGGCUCAACCGUGGAACUGCCUUUGAAACUGCAGGGCUUGAAUCCUGGAGAGGGUGGCGGAAUUCCUGGUGUAGGAGUGAAAUCCGUAGAUAUCAGGAGGAACACCGGUGGCGAAGGCGGCCACCUGGACAGGCAUUGACGCUGAGGUGCGAAAGUGUGGGGAGCAAACAGGAUUAGAUACCCUGGUAGUCCACACCGUAAACGAUGGAUACUAGGUGUCGGGGACUUGAUCUUCGGUGCCGUAGCUAACGCGUUAAGUUCCCGCCU
rnacentral:rRNA from 2 species